rnacentral:rRNA from 1 species
UACGUAAGUGGCGAGCGUUAUCCGGAAUUACUGGGCGUAAAGGGCGCGUAGGCGGUCAGCACAAGUCAGUUGUGAAAUCUCCGGGCUUAACUCGGAAAGGUCAACUGAUACUGUGCGACUAGAGUGCAGAAGGGGCAACUGGAAUUCUCGGUGUAGCGGUGAAAUGCGUAGAUAUCGAGAGGAACACCGGUGGCGAAGGCGGGUCUCUGGGCCGAUACUGACGCUGAGGUGCGAAAGCGUGGGGAGCAAACAGG